AAUGCUCCAAGGAGCUGGCUACAGAGAAGACCACCCGGGAAGGAACACACCAGCCAAGUUGGGAAACAGACCUUUAUUAGUCUGGCCAGACGGCACUCCCAAAGCAAAAUAGCUUAGAGAGGCACCUGGCUCAGAGUCCGAGGCUGUUUUUAUAGGGGGUUGAGGGGGAAGUUAACAUAUCAAAGAAAAGGGGACAAAGGUUAGUGGUCGACUUUAACAUAUCAAAGAAAAGGGGACAAAGGUUAGUGGUCAACUGUCACAUAUUGAUGGUUAGCAGACAUCUGCAGCUUGUUCUAACAAUUGUGGUGCCUGGAAUAUCAGUUCUGGAUAAACAAAGAGUUGAGUAGUUUACUCUGGGACCCUAGGUCGGUUACAGAUCCCUAUCUAGCAUCUCUAGACUAACAAACAUCUCCAUCCAUUAACUCACAUUUUAAUCACAAUGGGGCUGGAGAAAAAGGGG
rnacentral:lncRNA from 1 species